CGAAGGUGAAGUGCACACUCACUGUUUCCCUAGUGCUCGUGUUCUUGAUAUUUCUGCACAGAUACCCGCGAUCCUGAAGGGUGAAGAGAGCCCCAGAGCGGUCGUGCUUCACUUCGGGGUUAACGACACCAUGCUGCGGCAGACGGAGACACUGAAGAGGGACUUCAGGAGCCUGAUCAAGACCUGAUCAUCGUGUCAGGAACGGUUCCCACUUAUAAACGAGGACACAAAAGGAGCAUCCUAGGCUUUUUCGCGGUGAUGGCCUGCUCCCCAGCAGAGUCGGAGCGGAGCUGCUCUCUGACAACAUCUCCAGGACACUUCGCUCCAUGUGACUAGUCACCGUGGCCACCAGAUCCAGUCUGUAUCCAGAUCAGAGGGUCACUGCAGUCACCCGGAUCCAGUACGUAUCCAGACCAGAUGGUGGAUCAGCACCUAGAAAGGACCUCUACAUCCCUGUAAGACAGCGGAGACCAGGACAACUAGAGCCCCAGAUACAGAUCCCCUGUAAAGACCUUGUCUCAGAGGAGCACCAGGACAAGACCACAGGAAACAGAUGAUUCUUCUGCACAAUCUGACUUUGCUGCAGCCUGGAAUUGAACUACUGGUUUCGUCUGGUCAGAGGAGAACUGGCCCCCCAACUGAGCCUGGUUUCUCCCAAGGUUUUUUUCUCCAUUCUGUCACCGAUGGAGUUUCGGGUCCUUGCCGCUGUCGCCUCUGGC